rnacentral:rRNA from 1 species
UGGGGAAUUUUGGACAAUGGGGGAAACCCUGAUCCAGCCAUCCCGCGUGUGCGAUGAAGGCCUUCGGGUUGUAAAGCACUUUUGGCAGGAAAGAAACGUCAUGGGUUAAUACCCCGUGAAACUGACGGUACCUGCAGAAUAAGCACCGGCUAACUACGUGCCAGCAGCCGCGGUAAUACGUAGGGUGCAAGCGUUAAUCGGAAUUACUGGGCGUAAAGCGUGCGCAGGCGGUUCGGAAAGAAAGAUGUGAAAUCCCAGAGCUCAACUUUGGAACUGCAUUUUUAACUACCGGGCUAGAGUGUGUCAGAGGGAGGUGGAAUUCCGAGUGUAGCAGUGAAAUGCGUAGAUAUGCGGAGGAACACCGAUGGCGAAGGCAGCCUCCUGGGAUAACACUGACGCUCAUGCACGAAGGCGUGGGGAGCAAACAGG